rnacentral:rRNA from 1 species
CUCUUAGAUGUUCUGGGCUGCACGCGUGCUACACUGAUUACUUCAACAAGUGUUUUAACUGGAGAGUUCGCGUAAUCCUGAAAUGUUAUCGUGAUGGGAGUAGAGUAUUGUAUUUGUUAAUCUUUAACGAGGACUUCCUAGUAAGUGUAGGUUUAUUUGUUUUUUUUUUACGUCCCUGCCCUUUGUACACACCGCCCGUCGCUCCUACCGAUUGAUUGAUCCGGUGAAUUACAUAGAAUUUUGCGUUUUACAUGACGGAAGAUGAAGUGUUUUAAACCUUAUCAUUUAGAGGAAGGAGAAGUCGUGACA